CAUGAACGUGCGGAUCAUUUGUUUCAGGGUUCCGUUAAACCGUUCACAGAGCCCAUUGGACUGGGGGUGAUAUGGGGAGUUCAGGAUUUGCUGUAACUCACAUAUCUUCCAGAGCUGAUGGGUCACUUCAGCAGUAAACUGGGUGCCUCUAUCGGAGAUAAUCUCCCGGGGAAAUCCUACCCGGGUGAAUAUUCUCAUCAGGGCCUCGGCUACCGUUUCUGCGUGCACAUUAGUUAAGGCCACGGCCUCGGGGUACCUGGUGGCAUAAUCCACCACGGUUAGGACAUAUUUCUUGCUGGAGGUGCUUGGUUUUGCGAGGGGACCUAUGAUGUCUACUGCCACACUACUGAAGGGUUCCUCAAUGAUGGGCAGAGACCGUAGUCGGGCUUUGUAUCUGUCCCCUCUUUUGCCUACUGUAACGGACCGUUUUGCACAAAAGGGGAAAAAAACGCUUAGACGAUAAUCCCCUUUCA